rnacentral:sRNA from 1 species
AGAGGGCCGUGGCGUGAUCGCCCAAACA